CAUGUUUUUAAAUGACUUGUCUGCACAAAAAUGUUAUCAAUCUGACCUUUAAAUGUUUUUGGCACUCAGAGCAACACAAGCUGAAUGCCAUCCAGUGUCGUUCCAUUAUAUUUUGAGAGAAGGCGGGCAUCUCUGCUGUCAAUAUCUCCCAACACAAGACAGCUCACACCAAAACAAUCAAUAUGUAUAAAAAGCACCACAGGUAAGAGGACAAACAUUUUGUUUUUCAUUUUGGGGUGAACUGUCCCUUUUAGCACACUCACCUGCUCAGAUGUCAGCCCCACAGUCUUGUGAGGAGCUUGUGAUGUUUCUUUGCCCGGGUAUUAAUAGUCUGCAAAUGCAAAAGGAAAUACCUCGCUCAGACGUUUGCAGCCAACCGACGUCAGAGAUUCCUGGUUGACAUGAGAUGUGAAGGAGCUGUGCCCUGACUGCACUCGUCCUCGUGUCUCACGUCAGGCUGUGUAGCGGUGCUGACUCUGGUAUCCGCUUAAUCAGCCCACACAUGCAAUAACUCACGCACCUGUACACCGAGUACAAUCCAAUACAGCUGCCCUGCAACAACAGUACCAACUGUACGGGGAGCAUGAUGUUCAUUUUUGCAGUUCUACUAUAUGUGAAGGGGCUGACAGAGCUGCUGGAUACAGACACACUGAGCGAGAUGCACAUCCUGUUUCGAUUCAACCUCUGGAACCUACGGGAAAAGAAAAAGAAAAAACAGAUUCACAAUCACCUCUCCACCUCUGAUAUUAUAGCCUCCACUCGCUGCUAUUACUGCUGGGGAAAUGAAAAAGGCCAUCACUGUCAUUUCCAGGCACUAUGGGCAAUAUAGAUACAGGAGUAAGUCGACAGUACCUUUACAACGGUGGGAGUUUGUUUUGGCUCCGGCUUGUGUGCUAAGAGACGAGACAGCCCCUCACAAGGUAUGUCAUGUUCCUUCUCUGGCAACUUCUCAUCCUGUGCGUCCUGAUGGGAAAAGACUUUUCUCAACCGUGGACUUGUAAAGAUUGUUCCAUAUAAACCACUGUACAUACAAUAUAGCUAUAUAUGUUGAAUGUGUAGAAGGCUUAACAAUCUGUUUAUUGCACCAAGUGUAAUGCGACAACAAGAGACAAAUUAGUGAUUUUGGUCGAACACUGAUCAUUCUGCCCUUUCUUAAAUAUGUAAAAGUAGUGAUGCCAAUGUGUAGACAUAUUUAGUUAAAGGAAUAUGUCAUGCAAUUAAAAUUUUACUUAAAGGUGUCACUCGUAAUAUAUGGCCAGGAUUCGGAGGUACUGUAGCUGCAAAAAACAGCUAGCUAUCCACUCUAGCUAGUUACUGUUAGCUUGUUAGGCCACGGCUCAGUUAGCCGUGGAGGCUGCUGACCCAAAGUUGAGGACUAAUUAUGACCAGCCCACAGGGGUUGUGGAGAAGACAAACCAAGACUGAUUCAGUCAGUUUUAUUUAUUUUAUGUCAAGUCUGUUUUACAAUGAGAUACGUGACAAUUAAGCUUGUCUUAGUUUGGUAAAAGACUUACAUUCAGACAGUGUAUGGUUGUAUUUUUCUUUUUUGUAAGGAAAAGAGAAGUUGUAGUUUUUUAUUUCUUGACAUUUUGUGAGUAUCUUGUACAUUUAUUACACUAACAGUUGACAUUGUCUAUAUCUGGCACCUGAAACUAAGAGAGCUAUCUGAUGAACACAUCUUGGGGUACAAAGUGGUAUAACGUUAUUUAGGCUAGCUGGUUAGAGGGCUAACUUCAGUAGUCAUCUCUGCAACAGGGCACAUAAACAUGUUUGAUAACCUCAGUUAAUUUUUUGACUCUUUUCAACUAAAAUUACCUCCAUAUCUCACAAGUGUCCCCGUCUGAGUGAAACUCCAUACACAUAUUGUCAUCAAAACAUACAUAAAGUAAAGUUCCCGCUUCCCACUUCUCUAUUUUUAUUUUUAUUAAUCAUUAACACUGAUAGGGAAAGCAUCUAAUACAUCAGAAACAAAUGGAAUUUAAGUGAAAUAAAGGUCACCACGGCUUCAUCAGCAAACUCUUUUAAUUUCCUUACAAAAGUCAUAUUCAUUCAAAUUCAUAUUUCGCCCCUCUUCCUCUUGAGUCCCCCCUGCAGUGGCUCUAUGCCCAACAUCCAGUUUGAGAACUGCUGAUCUAUGAUAUUAUGAAUAUUAAUACGUCAUCAUUGAUUUAUUUUCUUGAUUAUAAUCUAUAUUAAUAAUAUGAAUCUGGAAAAUUAGCAACUAAAGCUGUCAGAUACACGCAGUAAAGUAGCAAUGCAAAAUAGAAUGAACUUUAACUACAAGUAUAUCGAAAUUGUAGAUAAUAGUACAGUAGCUAAGUAAAUAUACUUAGUUACUGUCUGCCACCGGAUCUUAUGCUGUUCAAACAAAGCUGACUUCGCCGGACUCAGCAUAAAACACAUCUUGCCGGGAGCCACCAGGGCCACUGUCCACACUCAGCACCUCUGCCUGCAACGACCGCGGAUCGCCAAUUUCCUUUUGCAUCGCGCAAAGUAAUUGGGAAACUUGACAGAUGUCGUGAGAGGCAAGAGGGGGCAGGAACAGGUGACCCCCCCUCGCCACCCAAACUGAUGACAUGGCUUACCUUGACAGCUGAAAGAGAGGCUCUGCUCCACCCACUCCCAAUCUGUCUGGGUCCGUGUGCUCACCAAAAGUAAUGAAUCUUCCAUCCGGCGCGCGUGCCUCCAUUGAACUCUGGUGAGUCCAGACCACUGAGGAGGACGGAGACAGAAAAUGACAGCAGUGCUCUCACGGCAAAACUCUAUUCAUCUUUGAGACAAACUGGUAGAGUUUUGGCCUCGUGGCGGUAGAGCAAACAACCUGAACAAGAAGACCUGCAGCUGACAUUGUUAUCUCCUAAAGUAGUUUUGGCUGACAUGCUGGCAAAUGAUGGUGUCAUUGUUGGUCAACACAGCAGCUAGUAUUUGUUGACUUCCUUAUUUUGCUAUUUAGUUGCUAACCAUAUCAGUCUGGGUAUGUUUGCACAG
rnacentral:lncRNA from 1 species